UCGCCUGUUUUUCAAAAACAUCUUUUCUUGUUAGUUUCUGAAGUAUGGCCUGCCCGCUGACGUAUUUUGAGUUGAAGGGCCGCGGUAUUUUGACCGUGCAAAGGUAGCAUAGUCAUUAGUUCUUUAAUUGUGAUCUGGUAUGAAUGGCUUGACGAGACAUGGGCUGUCUUGGGUGUGAAUUUGUUGUUGAAUUUGGAGUUUAAGUUAAAAUUCUUAGAUGUUUUUAUGGGACGAGAAGACCCUAUAGAGUUUGACAUUUGAUUGCGUAUUUCUUGUUGUUUGUUUUGAAUUUUUGUGCAUCUCUUGUUUUGUUGGGGUGAUGGGAGGAAUUUAUUUAACUCCUCUUUUAUGUGGUAUAUUGAUUUGUAAUUGUUUUGAUCCAUUUAUUGAUG
rnacentral:rRNA from 1 species